rnacentral:lncRNA from 12 species
GAGACACAUUUCUUUCCUUUCAAAUGAGACCCUGUGAUUCAAACAGCCAAUACUUCCAGAUUGUGAGAAACUUGAAGGGGGUAUAGACGUUUCCCUCCUGAAACUGCACCUAGAGAGAUGCCAUGAUGUGUGACACCAGACCUUCUGAACGGCCUGCGGCUGGAAAAUUUCUAAUGACAACAAGGCAACAAGAAGCCACAGCAUCAGUGCUGCUUCCAUGCCCAUCUCAGUCUCCCUCUUGACAGCACAGCUAAGAGAUGGUUCUUUGUGACACCAAAGCCUGGCAAAAUGAACCAUGAACACAUCUCAUGGUACCAUCUGCCUGGCAGAGGUAGAGGUAGUCAAAUAUUUUGCAUGGCUGAGAAGGAAAAAAGUGGUCCAGAGCAGGCUAGAGAGCCAAUUGCAGAAAAGGGUAUCAAGGCAGCUCAGUGACUUCCUCAUGGCUCAGACUGGUAAUGACAGCUGGGACAUGCAGAGCAGAGUGAUGGUGAAGAGCUUCGCUUCUGGAACCACAGAAUCCCUUGGCUUCCCAGAUGGCAAGGAUCUGAAUCGUAACUUCACUACUCAUGAGCUAGGCAACACUGUGAACAUCACCUGGCUCCCCCAGCCCUCCAGCUCUUCAUCUUAUUGUAAUAGGUUCUUUUAGGUUGUUGUGUCGGUCAAAUAAAAUAAUUGAUAAAAAAAAAGUACUUAUGGUU